CCUGGGACGGGUGGUGUGUUUUCAGCGUCCUGCUGGAACCUUGUGGAAAGCACCUAGCGGGAGAGGAACACUGAGUUCCACGGCCUUGAUUCAGACAGCGGGUGGGUGUCCGCUUCCCUCACUGGGCCCCUGACCUCGAAGACGAGCGGGAGAGGAAGUCAAGGACCCCGCUGGCCCGGCACCUCCUAUCCUGGUUCUUUGCUUCAGGGUUGGAGGGGAAGCUCAGCAGAUGGGGAGAACCGGCGUGCAAGCGGACCCUGUCUCAGGCCUUCUGUCUUGUCCCUGCCCCGCGUGCAGGGAGGUUCUGCUCCCACCAGCAGUCGGGGAGAAUGGAGUACAUCCCAGCCCCAACUUGGACCACCUCCUCAGUCUCCGGAGUAGCAGAUAGGAGUGGAGGCUCCGUCCUCCACUGGUCCCUAAUGUCACCAGGGAGGAGGGCUCUUCAGUCUCCACGGUGGAUAAGCUCGGUGGGCAGAUGCUCCUGCGAAGAUCAAAGGAGAGAGGACAGCUGGCACCGGCACGGCGUUGACAGAGUUGGGGACACACAGAGUGGAAAAAAGAGAGGCUGACUCAGUGGCAGAAAGGAGACAACACAGUUCUAUGCACCAGGAUUUCCAGGAUCCCCUCCAGGGCCUGGCUCUGGGUGGGAGGCAAACAAGAAAAAGAACUUGUGUGCAGAUGGAGAGCAGGGUAAAGCUGGUGUAGCAUUCUUGGGGGACAGUCACAGCAGCCUUGAAGCUCAGGUGACAAGCCUCUUUCCCAGACUUAGACAUGUGCAGUUUACAUAGAUCAUUACCUGCUGAAUCCUGAGAUGCAUUACAACCUCAAAGACAGGGCCCAGUAUCUUCCUUCCAAAAGUGUCUUCCCAUCACCCUGUCUACCUGUGACGGCUGUAUCACCCUCUAGCUACGACCCUUGCCUCUGUCUGGGAACGGUCCUUGACGUUUCAUUCGUUCAAGAAGAGAAAAAGGCAUACUAUGAACAGGUUCAACAAUGGUAACGAAUGGACCACUCUGUCAGCCCACUGACAGCUGACCUCUGGACACAUCAGCAAGUCCAGCCACUUUCAGCAGAACCGCCACCCUCCCAACUCACCAGCCCCACGCCCGACCACAGUGAGCCCAGCAGACAACAGCGGAAUUCCCCGUUGCCCCAGAGCUCCAUGGGUAGUAAUAAAA